rnacentral:tRNA from 1 species
GGGGCCGUAGUCCAGCCUGGUAGGAUGCCUGGCACGGCUUUUAAGCCGCGGGACUCGGGAUACAGUCCAUCGGGAGCCCAGGUGGUCCCGGGUUCAAAUCCCGGCGGCCCCA